GGUCCAUUUAUCUAGUGGUCAGGAUGUGAGAUUUUGAUCGUGUCAAGUUUCUCAAAGCGCCGGUUCGAAUCCGGCAUGGACCU
rnacentral:tRNA from 1 species